rnacentral:lncRNA from 1 species
GAUGGGUUUAGUCUUUUGUAGCAUUCAAUGUAGCUUGGCUUCAUCAUGGGUGGAACUGGGUCCCGUGGAAGAGGAAUUGGAUUGUACUGGGGGAGGGACCGGAUGGCCCUAUGGCGGUACCGGAUGAUAUGGUGGAGGCAUCGGGUUAUACUGUGGCGGUACUAGAUGAUAUGGUGGAGGCACUGGAUUGUACUGUGGUGGUGCCAGAUGGUACGGUAGAGGAGUAGGGUUGUAAUAGGGUGGCUCUGAUUCUUCCCACUAUAAGGGUGUCUAAAAUUGUGGUAACGGAGGAGGGUCAGGUAGCUCCCUCAUUUCCCCUGGGCCUGCUAGACAAAGAUGAGUCUCUUCAGCAUCUCUAAGAGUCGCUCAACAUCCUCUCGAAGUGAGCCAUCCCGGGCUGCUCUAUUUAGUGGGGGUCUUCCUCUCCUCAUUUCUUUAUAUAUGCAUUU